rnacentral:lncRNA from 1 species
AGAGGGGCCAUGUUAGAGCCUAGUUUGUGUAAAGGCAGUGCUUCACAAUAGAGGGCCGCAAGAGGAGAUAGUCUCUUUCCUCUCAUUUUUCUCAGCCUGAGGAUAAUGUCAACACUGAGGACUCAGGACAAGGAGAUGUUAAGAACUUGGACUAGUGAUGACAAAGAUGCUAAAUCAACGAGCCCUGGAGCCUCCCUACCUUGAGACUUCCAGUUAUGUGAGAUAAUACAUUUCUUCUUAUUUCUUCAAUGAACAACCUCACACAUUAAUUUCUGCACGUAUGUAGAAUUAUUUCUAUAUGACAAAUUCACAGAAGAGGAACUUCUGCAUCCAAGUAAAUACACUGAUUAAAUUUCAAUAGGUGCACUUAAGUUCGUGACUCAUACACAAAUUAGCAAAGAAUUAAAAGAAAACAGAAGGCGCUAACUACUAAUGAAGGAACAGAGAACCACCAAUACAGUGCUUUUCAUGGAUGCUCCUUUCACCUCCAACAAUUUAUUCUUCAUUGCCACGGUGAAGGGAAUAUCUUCUAUGCCAUCUCAGGGAACAUAGUUGUGGGUUGGGCAAGCCAGUUGCACAUGAUGAAGCCACUCCAACAUUCUCAUCUCUCUAAGCCUUUGAAUUCCUUCUUUCACACCAUACCAAGGUAUUUCUGGCAUCCCAACUUCAUUUUAUAUAGGGCCACUGUUGAGUACAAAUUUUAGUCAAACAACUAAGUAAACAGAACCAGCUGCUAGAAUAUAUGGUAGGCAUUCACGUUAAUUAAUUCAGCUCAAUCUAAAAUUACUUUAAUCCCUACUUUAUUGUUGGUUUUGUUUCUGCU